UAUUAUUAUUAUUAUUAUUAUUAUUAACAUAGAUUCUUUGCUGAGGUUAACACCUUUAUAGCAAAAUAUCAAGAAAUACGGUUUCGUGUUAAAUAAAACACCAUUGAAUAAUGAAAAAUGAAAUACAAUUUUAAUCUACAGUUAAAUUAGUUAAUUAAUAAAGGUUAAUGUUAAUUAUUGUAAUGUGUCAUAUUGAUUCUUGAAGGAAGAAACAGUAACAGCUGCAACAACGUUAUCAGGCAUGCCAUUCCAUAUAUCAAAUGCACGAUUUGUCAAAUAAUUCUUUCUAACGGUAGUCUUAAAUGGUUCUUUUUUCAGCUUAUAAGAAUGACCUCUAAGUCUGUCAUGAUAUUGAAUUUGCAAGAAAUUGCGUGUUACUCCAGGAAAUAAACCAUGAGUAAGCCGAAAAAUUUGAAUUGCAUCUGCCCUGUUUUGACGAGCACGUAGAUCUGGUAUUUUGAGUAUUUCAAGACGUUGUUCAUAUGAAACUUGUCUUAAACAGUGUGUCCAUCUAGUUACCAGGUGCUGAGUUCUUUCCAGCAAAUCAAUAUCCUUUAACAAAUAAGGUCUCCAGACUGGAAUGGCAAAUUCCAAAUGCGGCCUUAUGUAAGUGAUGUACACCUUUGAAAUAAAACUGACUGAAGGAUUUGGAAAAACAUGCUUUAGCAAAUAAAACAUUUUACGCGCUCGACCCACUGAUGCUAGACAUUGCUCUGACCAUCCUAACUUAUCAUUUACAAUGACCCCUAGAUCUUUGGUUGAGGUUUUUACACUCAGGAGUGUGCCAUUUAUAUGGUAAAGGUACUUUGGGUUGUUGUGGCCACACUGAAGUACACAGCAUUUUGCAAUAUUUAGUGGUAUUUGCCACUUCUCGCUCCAUUGGAAGAUUAAAUUAAGUUGGUCUUGCAAGUCCGUGACAAGUGGGUUAGCAAAUAACUUAAUAUCAUCCGCAUAUGCUGAAUAGCUGUCCAGUGAAAACAAUAAAUCUGCUGUAUAUAACAAGAAUAAAAUUGGUCCAAGAACUGAUCCCUGUGGGACCCCACUUAAUACUGGUUUAGAGUACGAAAAUUUACCGCAGACUUUUACACAAUAGUUUCGAUUUGAUAGAAACGCUCGGAUCCAAUCAAGCAAAUUUCCUGUUACACCAUAGGACUCCAGUUUUGCUAACAAGAGAUUGUGAGGGACUUUAUCAAAGGCUUUACUAAAAUCAAGAUUUGUGCAGGAUAGCAAAUUUGUGACAACUGACCUACCUGGUAAAAAGCCGUGCUGAUGCUCAGCAUGUCGACGUGAGACUUACAGGUCUAUAGUUAGCAGGAUCAAGUUUAUCUCCUGACUUGUACAAAGGCGUGAUUGUUGCUUGCAACCACUCGUAGGGCAAAGUGCCUUGUAAGAAUGAUUUUGUCAUCAUUUUGGCAAGUGGGCCCGACAACGAAGCAGCACAAGUUCUCAGGAGUUUGGGAGGUAUCUGAUCCGGACCUGGAGCUGUAUUUAAUUUAAUGGCACAGAGUUGGCUUUUUACCAGAUCCGGAGUAAAAUUAAUAUAAGACAACCCACUAAAUGUAGCAGCAAAACUGUCCGCUAAAGUGUUUGCAGUUUCUGUAUGAUCGGAGCAGAGUAGACCUGAAGCAUUUCGUACUAAAGGGACCGACACACGACUAGAGAUAAAUUUACGUACAUGGGAAUAAAAUAGUUUUGGUUUAUUUAAUAUAGAAUUUUCAUAAUUACACCUGGCUAUUUGUAAAUCAGAUUUUAGUUGGUUAGAAAAUCUUUUAUAAGCAGAAAAAUUAUUUUCGGUAGGCUGCCUUUUAAAUUUUUUCCAUAAUUUAGCUUUGUAUUUUAUUUUGUCAAGCAUGUGUUGAUUUAUCCACGGUUUAUCUUUUCUCAGUCGGUUUGUAAACAGUCUGGAAUUUGUUGUAAUGCAAGUUUGUAAAAUCGAUUUAAAAUGUUUCCAUUGUUCUUCCGCAUUUAGUGAAUCUAAACCAUUCCAGUCGUAAGUCAAGAGACUUUCGUCUAUGCGAGUGUAGUCAACAAUUGAUGUUGUUUUAAUUCUUGCAUUUGGCUCUGAAUAUAUCAUAAUUUGUAACUCAAUUUCGAUUUUUGAAUGAUCAGAUGUACCUACAGGAUUCGAAACGUUUAAAGACGAUACAAGGUUAACGUCAGACAAAAUUACCAAAUCAAGUAAUGAAGGACGUUGUUGGGAUCUAAAUCGUGUAGGUUCAGUGACUAUUUGUGACAAAUUAUUCUCCAAGAGCAAUUCAGAAAAUUGUUUUUCGAUGAUUGUUUGACCUGUUGUGUUUUUAGCAGACCAGUCUAUACAUGGAAAAUUGAAAUCUCCCAUAAUAAUUA